rnacentral:rRNA from 1 species
GGGACACGUGGUAUCCUGUCUGAAUAUGGGGGGACCAUCCUCCAAGGCUAAAUACUCCUGACUGACCGAUAGUGAACCAGUACCGUGAGGGAAAGGCGAAAAGAACCCCGGCGAGGGGAGUGAAAAAGAACCUGAAACCGUGUACGUACAAGCAGUGGGAGCACAGAGCAAUCUGUGUGACUGCGUACCUUUUGUAUAAUGGGUCAGCGACUUAUAUUCUGUAGCAAGGUUAACCGAAUAGGGGAGCCGAAGGGAAACCGAGUCUUAACUGGGCGUUAAGUUGCAGGGUAUAGACCCGAAACCCGGUGAUCUAGCCAUGGGCAGGUUGAAGGUUGGGUAACACUAACUGGAGGACCGAACCGACUAAUGUUGAAAAAUUAGCGGAUGACUUGUGGCUGGGGGUGAAAGGCCAAUCAAACCGGGAGAUAGCUGGUUCUCCCCGAAAGCUAUUUAGGUAGCGCCUCGUGAAUUCAUCUCCGGGGGUAGAGCACUGUUUCGGCAAGGGGGUCAUCCCGACUUACCAACCCGAUGCAAACUGCGAAUACCGGAGAAUGUUAUCACGGGAGACACACGGCGGGUGCUAACGUCCGUCGUGAAGAGGGAAACAACCCAGACCGCCAGCUAAGGUCCCAAAGUCAUGGUUAAGUGGGAAACGAUGUGGGAAGGCCCAGACAGCCAGGAUGUUGGCUUAGAAGCAGCCAUCAUUUAAAGAAAGCGUAAUAGCUCACUGGUCGAGUCGGCCUGCGCGGAAGAUGUAACGGGGCUAAACCAUGCAC